GCCCUAGUAGCUUAAUGGCCCAAAGCACCGGUUUUGUAAUCCGGAGACUGGGGAUUAAAGUUCCCCCUAGCGCC
rnacentral:tRNA from 1 species